rnacentral:rRNA from 1 species
UACGAAGGGGGCGAGCGUUGUUCGGAUUUACUGGGCGUAAAGGGCGCGCAGGCGGCUAUCCAAGUCAGGCGUGAAAGCCCCGGGCUUAACCUGGGAGGUGCGUCUGGGACUGGGUGGCUAGAGUUCGGGAGAGGAGAGUGGAAUUCCCAGUGUAGAGGUGAAAUUCGUAGAUAUCUGGAGGAACACCGGUGGCGAAGGCGGCAUCCUGGACCGGUAUUGACGCUGAGGAGCGAAAGCCAGGGGAGCAAACGGG